AAACGCGUUGCCUGCGUCACCUAGCGUUUUACCGAAUUUCAGUCAUCUGCUCGAACAGGCACAGCUUCCGAGUACCCUUAUUGCUGCCGCGUCCUUCCGCCCUCCCUCUCCUCCCGUCCACCGCACACUUGCUGUGUUGUCCCCACUUCUCCUCGCCCGUCCUCUCACUCAGCGGAUGACCAGUGCCCAGGCCACUGAAAAAUCGGAAACACUCCAUCCCAACGCCAAGAACAGUCUGGCACUUAGCAGUCCCGUGGCUUUGGAGACUUCUGUCCGCUGAUGAUACCCAGCAGCUGUGGCCCAAAGCCCCGAUCCUUCCCUGAACUCACGCAUCUAACUGCCCACAGGAGACCUCCCUUCCGUCGCUCCAGCCACCGUCCUGAUCUCCCCAAAGCUGUCCUACUGCAUCUUCCCCAUCUCAGUUAAGGAAAACUCCAUUUUCCAGAAUGCCAACUCCAGGAGCAGGGGUUCCUGCUGACUCCUUCACUGCUGUGUCCCCCUCCUGGAACAGCAUCUGGAACAGAGUGACCAGGCACUCAACAAACAUGUAUGGAAUGAAUGAGCCUGUGCCCCUUUACCACUGGUAAUACUGACAAUACUUUUUCUUUAUGUUGGCUUUUCAUUCCAAUAAAUGUAUUUUACAAGGAAACAAUAUUACUGCCCCAGACGGAACACUGCUCUCACUCACCUGAAUAGAAGCAACAGCAGAGGCUGGCCCGGUGGCGCAAGCGGUUAAGUGCGCGCGCUCUGCUGCGGCGG